rnacentral:lncRNA from 1 species
AAUGGAUAUCCAAAAUAAAUCAUUUGGAAUUAAAAUUUAUAUUUUAUAAUAUGAUAAUAAUAAUUUAUUUACUUAGAUUAUUAAAUUUAUUCAAAGUUAACUCAUGAAAAUAUUUAUUAUUUGUUGCAUCUUGUUUAUACAUGUGAAUAUGUGUCUAUAUAUCCGCGGAUUUCGGGUAACUAUUUCGGUUUUGGGUAUCCGUUCGGGUUUCGGGUAUCCGCGGGUUUGGUUUUGGUGUUGAAUUUCCACCCGAUUUGGUUUCGGUUUUGGUUUCGGGUUUCGACUUCGCGUUUCGGUUUUGGGUGCACGGAGACUCCACCCGAUCCAAACCCAACCUGUUGCCAUCCUUAAAUGGUGCUCUUCCUUCACUUAGUUGUCAGGUUAGUGUGUUGGCUUCAAUGGUGCCUUAAUGAACGAGUGGACAUGGCUAAGCCCCAUUUAUCGCAGCUGGAUAUUAUCUCAAAACAAUUUUGAUCUCAGCAUACUCUUAUAUAUGGCUAACAAAUUUUUAAUUUAAUAUGUCGCUAAUCUCAUUGACAUCGGUUUUAUGUACUCUAAUAUUAGUUUUUAUGUACAGCUUGAUUCGAAAGAUAUGCUACUUCAUGAAGAGCAGAUAGCUAAAGUUCAAGAACACGUCAUUCAGCAGGUGUAUGGUGAUACUGUGCUUGCCGAAAAAAACACUUCAUUUCAGUGUCGAGGCUGGCUGGCUGGCUGCAAUAAGGUAAUAACGUGGACAUUGUCGGAUUCAUGGUUGGAUGACUGUUGUUACCUAUGAAUUCCGUAAUUACUCUCCUAGAUUGAUUUUACGCUUCUAUAGUUUACCUGCUCCUACAUAGCGAUUGCAAGACUAGAUUUCCUUACAAAGCUACACUGAGAUAUUUUUUCCCUGAAAAAGAAAGUUACUCUAGAUGCUUCCUUACACAAAAUGUGUAGCUUUCCCAGUUUUGCUAAUAAAGCUGGUAAAAAGGAUUGAUGUUCUUGUGGUUGGUUUGACACUUUGAAAUUACCACUGCUUUGCAGCAAACAAUAAAGUGUGCAUAAUCGUUCUAUUUUUAUCUUUUAUGUGCUUCAUGAAGACCUAUAUUUGAUCCUGUUCAGCUGAGUGUUGAUGAAUUAUGUACCUUUUUGCCAUAAACACAUAAUUAUCAACAUAAAGAAAGAUAUCGACUGGGACCACCUUGAGUUCAGGAUUUGAGCCACCAAAUUUGUUGUUCUUUCUUUCCAAAAGGUUGUCUUCUCCUAAAUUUUAAUAUCCCACUACAGGCAGGUCAAAAAAAGGGUUGACCGUGCCUACACAAAGCUAUCCAAAGCUAAUACUGACACUGCCAAGUUAAACCAAUGUCCUAUCCCUAUUCAGCUGUAUUUGUAGCCUUUGAACGAUUUGGAAUCCCACUAUUUUGACAUUGUUGACAUCAUACAUCCACAAUAUAAUUCCGUCUUUAAACUAAACCAAAAAAAAGAUCUUUCAGUCCAAACUUACUUCCUCAGUCAGCAUCUAUGUUUUCUUUUAUUUUUACCAGACAUAUCUAUUUGCUUCAUCCACUUUGGGUCUCUUACAUAAAUAAAAUUAUUACAUUCAGUUGCACUACACUUUUACUUUUUCCACUACCAGUGCAGAACAUAGAGCGCCAAUCACCUGUGCCAAAAACUUUCAGAAUGUUGUUGACAGAGGUGGCUGAUUUCAUAUAUGUUCAAAGAUCUGAUCAUUCAUCUAAACCCAUAGAUAUGCAGUUUAUGCUAAAUAUUUAGGACAUCACUUAUGUUUCCAGACGUAGGAAAAAAAUUCUGAAAAAGUUUAUGUAUCCAUAUGAAUUUACUUCAUAUAUUUAGUGACACCUUUCCAACGUGUCUUAACCCUGUGACGAUUCUAUUUUAGUGAUACAGGUAAAAGAAAGCGAUGAAGAAACAUACAUAGACAAGAGCAUCGAACCAACACCCCCUCCCCCCCCCCCCCCCCCCUCUACCACCACCACCACAAAAAAAACCA